UCCGGUGAUGAGGGAAGCCAAGAGGAGAAGGGUACAAACGCAAAAGCAUUGCUUUUCAGCCAUACUUGCGUCCGCUUAGCUUUGUGGGCGGAGCCGAGUCCUGCUGCCACAUCCAGAUUUUGUACACGCACCAUGUAUAACUUCCCAACAAAUCUUUUAGGAUAUUCUCUGUCUCCUUAGAUCAAACACAAAUGUUCAAUCCGGGUUCGUAUAUAUCACUGAUAGUAUAGAGUGGGAUCUGUAGUUUGUAUUUUUGCAAUUGGAGGUUUGUCCCAAGAAAUUCCAAGUUAUAAUUAUGACUAUACAAGAAAUCCAUAAGAUAUCUCUCCAUCUUUUAUGACCACACACAUAUGUUCAAUCAGGUUUUGAAUAUAAUUGAAUGUAGUAGGAGAUAAAGUUCACUACUCAGGAAUUAAAUAAUAAUGACAACAACUAAGGAAAAGAAAAUUCAUUCUUCCGAUUACCAAUUUAAAAAAAACACAUAAUAUGUCUAUCAUUACCAGUGAUGAAAUCCAGUGCAGAAUGGGCAUGUUAAAAAAAAGAUACCGAAAAUCAACAUGGUAAUCCUGACAAUUUGAAUAAUGUUUUGGAGGAGAGAAAUAAUAAUGCUCAUGACGUUUCAUAAGAUCAGCUACAAUCAACUGUGACAAAGGAGGAAAGAGAAAAGGAUGUAUACAAGGACAUUUGCUAGAAUUACUCUGAUGUCGAUCCCCAAUUCUAUUCUUGAGUCCAACAAGGUCUUACAAUUAUAAUUCCGAAUUAAAUCUUAAUCUAAAUAUAAUCGAAAACACUUAGGAAAGGAUGCUCAUCAUAUUUAACUGACAAAAGUGUAUUAGAAAAUCCUUGAGAUGUUGAGCGGCCAUUACUGUGCGCCUUCGUGCCUGUUGGACGCACAAAGACGCAAAACCCUCCAUAAAUAAUUAUGUUAGAAAGGUAUCCAUUCUCGAGGCAAUGGCCAACAUGGACUAGGAGUUGCUCAUCAAGGCCUGUACCAGGUUCAAUUUCAUGUUGGAGCCUGUGGUUGAAGCGUGAGGGUACUGGUUUGAGUGAUUGAAUUUUUCCAGUGACCUCUACCUAUAAGAGAAAAAGAUUUGUGAAUUGCUGAAUUAAUUUGGGAAAAUAAAUUGUAAUAUAAAUUAUCCUUAAA
rnacentral:lncRNA from 1 species